UACGGAGGGUGCAAACGUUGCUCGGAAUCAUUGGGCGUAAAGCGCACGUAGGCGGUUCUGCAAGUCGGGUGUGAAAUCCCUCGGCUUAACCAAGGAAGUGCAUUCGAAACUGCAGGACUUGAGUACUGGAGAGGGUCGCGGAAUUCUCGGUGUAGAGGUGAAAUUCGUAGAUAUCGGGAGGAACACCAGUGGCGAAGGCGGCGACCUGGUCAGAUACUGACGCUGAGGUGCGAAAGCGUGGGGAGCAAACAGG
rnacentral:rRNA from 1 species